GUUACCAUUCCCUCUCCCAUAUGCUCCAACUUUUAUGUCUGUUUUGCCAUCUAUUCCAUUAACCUUAUGAUUAAUGAAAGUCUCCAGAAUUUUAAAUACCUUGAAAGGGAGCCAACGCCUGGUCUUUGGAGGCUAUGUUGAAAAUAAACAACGAUAAAAACGGGGAGAUGCAGGCUUUUGAAGUCCUUAAAGACACGACCACUGUGAUCUUUGUACCACGGUGCAGAAAAGAGGACAGCAUUUCACAUUUCUGGCAUUACUCACGACAACACAGCCACUGAAAGCGAGCAUGAAUUUCUGGGAGUAGCAUUAGGAUACAGGGCUCCUGCUGAGCUCACCAGUUCCUUGCUCUGCACAGCUGCCUUCUCAGCUGGGGGUUUUUAAAUCAGCACAGUGAGAAAAGAUAGCAAUGGCCAUGAUGCAUCUUCCUCCCUAUGAGAAAAAGUUAUGGGAGAAGGAUUCUGAACUUCUCGUGGCUGUGCUGACAUCAGUAAGAGUUGGAGAAAGUAUACAUUUAAGAAAACGUAUACAUUCCCACCCACAGGAUAUUAAGAUUUUGAUUCUGCAUUCUGAGAUUUCAAAGCUGGAGUUGAUAUUUUCAAAUAAACAGUUCUUUAAGAGACACAGGAACAUCUUACGUUAGGACCACGCCACGAAGGGGCUUUAAAAAAGGUAUAUAUAGUUCGCAGUGUUCGGUCAAGCAGGGCAACUAUUUUACUAGGCGUGAAGGCAAAGGUGUCCUUUGUUAAGCAGAUUGUGACCAGUCCCUGCUAUGGUAAAAGAUUAACAAACACUUCAUUAGCCGAUCAUAAACAAGCGGGAAGCAUCAGGGAACUUGCCACAAGAAGAAAACGCACGCUUUAAUUUGUUACAAGCAAGGUGGAUUUUUUCCCCCUCCUCUUGCUCCUAUUUCUGGCAUCAAUAUAAUUUAAAAGUUUCUCUGAAGAACAAGGCAAUUAUUUACAAUCUGAAAACGAAUGUGAUACAAAGGCAGUCUAUUUGCACUUUUAGAAAAACCUUUAUUUAAAUGCAUUGCUUCUGCUAUUCUCUCGCACAGUUUCCUAGAUUAGAUUAAAAUGCUAUUCUGCGCUCCAAAUAGUAUGUUAAUGUCCCAGUUCAUUCAACAGGCUUUUAGCAACCACUUAGGUUCUCCCCUGUGGCAGGUACUCUGUCAAGUGCUGGGGACCAGAGAGGAACCUGCAGUCUCUCUCUUCAGUGAAUUAAGCUUUGUGUGGCAAGGGACAUCUCCAAGGCAGUAUAGUGAAUGCUGUCAUAGAGUAAUGAACUUGUGGGUUGGCGGAACAGAGAUCGUUCCAAUACUUUCUCACUCUUCAUCCUGAAUCAGCCUCGGUGUCUUGUAUGCUGACCACUGCCCUUAUCUUAUACUUUCUUUCCUGUUUUCACCCCAGUCUUUGGAUGUGUCACAGAGCGUCGCUUCUUGGUUAUAACCUUGGUUUAUCUCAGUUCUGAUUUUCCUUUCCACCUGUGCUGAGCAAGUCAAUUUGAACAUGGCUCUUCUGGAAUGAUUUUAAUUGCUACGAUGGUAUGGCUACUUCUCUCAGUAGGAUAAUCCUGCCACAAUUCUUCCAACAUUGCACUUUACUUACCUUCUGGAAAGCAGACUUCAAGACUGUUGACCUGUCCGUUGGCCCCAAGCGAUAGGGUGUGUAGGAAACAUUUCUUCCUGAGGGAUCCUCUCAAGGGGAGUGCUUGGACAACAGCUUCACCGAAGGCACACCUUGUUCUUAAUUAAAUGCUACUUGUCACUGGUA